rnacentral:rRNA from 1 species
GUGACCUCAAAUCAGGUAGGACUACCCGCUGAACUUAAGCAUAUCAAUAAGCGGAGGAAAAGAAACUAACAAGGAUUCCCCUAGUAACUGCGAGUGAAGCGGGAAAAGCUCAAAUUUAAAAUCUGGCGGUCUUUUGGCUGUCCGAGUUGUAAUCUAGAGAAGUGUUAUCCGCGCUGGACCGUGUACAAGUCUCCUGGAAUGGAGCAUCAUAGAGGGUGAGAAUCCCGUCUUUGACAUGGACUACCAGGGCUUUGUGAUGCGCUCUCAAAGAGUCGAGUUGUUUGGGAAUGCAGCUCAAAAUGGGUGGUAAAUUCCAUCUAAAGCUAAAUAUUGGCGA